CAGCUUUUUUUUUUUUUUUUUUGGGUGAUAAAGUCCUAAAACAUUUAAAAAGGUUCGUCUUUUGCCUUUCUCCUAUCCGGUAGUUGAACCUAGAUUCCAUUAAUCAAAUAUGAUAAAAAAAAAAUCCCUUUUUUCCUUUAAAUUUCAGCCUAAAUCCUUUUUCUAAAAUUACAAUAAAGAUCUAAAAUAUUUUUGACCUUUUAAUUUUCUGAUUUGUAUAAAAAAAUAAAAAAAAAACUAUAGUUCACCAAUAUUAAAAAAAAAUCUAUGUUUUUUUUUCUCGAACGACAAAUCAAAAUAUUCUAACAAAUUUUUUUAAUUAUAUUUCAGUCCUCAAUUAUUACUGAAAUCGCAACUUAGAUCAUCUAAAAUGUAAUUAAUUUUUUUUACUAUAUGUAAAGUUGAGUGUGAUGAAUUUGAAAUUGCACAUCUAAGGAAGAUGGAAAAAUUAAAAAUUUUUAAUUUGCUAUUUUUGACAGUUGUUUGCUGAUUUGAAAUUUCUUAUCUUUUCAAAUAUUAGGUAGAGAAAGUAGUUUAAAGCAAAAAGUGCACUCAACAACAAUAACAAAUGUAUAAUACAUAUAGAAGUAUAAGAAUUAAGCUAGAGAAAACCAAUGCCUUAAAAUGGUAUAUUAAAGUAGAAGAAUUCAUGAAAAAAAGAAAAUAAUGAAAAAGAAGAGAAUAAAGAAAGAAAAAAAAAAAAGGCAUGAAAGAGAAUACAGAGAAGGAACAAGUUAUAGAGAUUCAAAACAAUAGAAUAACAACAACUAAAGAGCAGAAAACAAAAACUUCCUCUUUUUUUUUUUAUUCAUCGGAAGCGGGGACCACUGAUGUAGAAUUUUGGUUUGACUGCCUUAUAACAAGAAAUAGCUUUGAAGACUUCUUUAUAGAAAGGAACAAACUUUAAAGCUUUUGCUGUUGUUAUCCCUAAAUGAAUGUAUGAGCAAACUUCAAAUAUAAGACAAAUUAUUGGAUAUAAAAAAAAUAAUAAAAUCAACUUAUUACAGAUUACUUCUUAAGUUAAAUUUACUUAAUUAUAGUAUAUAAUAAAUCCAAUAUUAUUCGUAUCAUUGAGCAGAUACAGAUUAUAUAUAGCUUAUAACUAUACAAUAACAAUAAAUCCUUAAUACUAAACUAGUUAGGGUUGAUCAUAUGAAAUUUUUUUUUUGUCAUUCAGCUCUGUUUGACACCAAUUCUGCAUCAAUAUUCAAA
rnacentral:misc_RNA from 1 species